GCGCCCUUAGCUCAGCUGGAUAGAGCACGUCCCUUCUAAGGAUGUGGUCAUAGGUUCGAAUCCUACAGGGCGUGCCA
rnacentral:tRNA from 1 species